AAGAAUAAAUGUAAGGGGAAAUGUGCUGAUCGCUCCCGUGAGGCUCAUGAAAUCUCCGAGAAAAGGCAGGAGAGCCGCUAUGAAUGUGUUAAAUACCAGGUAUCCGCCUCUUACUGUUAUUCUAUACGACAAGUUCUUAAUAUUCAUUGCGCUUCCUUUGAUCCCAUGUCUAGUAUCCAAAUACUCAUACAUUGGACUUGCAAAUAUCUAACAAAAGUAAACCACAGGUUAUUACGCCAGCUAAACAAAUUUAAGUAAAGCAUAUGAGCGUGGAAAAGUUCUAAGAUUUAUGUACAUGCAGGGCGAUGACUGAUUGAAGGAAGGCUGAAAUAUUGGCGAAAGCCUUCACCCAGACCGGACCGUUGACACUAUUCAGUAAAUAGGUUUCUGUGGAAGAUCCAUAAGCCCAAUAUCCUGAAAAGGUUAUAAGGUACAAUGGUAUAACUCCGACUGUAAACUGAAAAUAAAGGGAUUUCAUCAUGUUCUUGACAACUGGCUGCUUAAUUGUUGCCUGCAAGUUACAUGACCAAAUAAAAUUCAGUUUAAUAUUACGGUUAAAUGAAAAAGAAUCAUAUCAACUUGAAACUAUAAGCUUUCUAUCCAACCUGAAUCUCAGGAAGCAUGCCGGUGUUAUAUGCGAACACUAGGUUGGCAGACGCCCCAAUCGUUUCAAAUACUUUACUUGCCCCUUCUCCUGGAAUGGUGUAAUCUCGAGGCGGUGAAUGUAUUCCUGACACCGUACUGCAGGUUAGUUCUAGAAAUGUUUCAACUCAAAUCAAACAAUGUAUUCAGGUAUUCAGAUAGGUGGAUUUCUAUGAAUUUCCAAUCACAAACAUGAGAUAUUACCAUCUUUAAUUGAUAGAACAGAUGCUACGGAAAUGUAUACCAAGCCGAAGACGGUUGAAACUGCCAACCAAAUUCCAAGAGCUGAAAGAUGAGGAAUACAAAUGGCAAACAUUGCAC
rnacentral:lncRNA from 1 species